UAGAGAUAUGGUGGAGGUUGAAGGAUACAGGUGGUGGCAUGGUUGUCGUCAGCUCGUGUCGUGAGAUGUUGGGUUAAGUCCCGCAACGAGCGCAACCCUUGUCUUUAGUUACCAUCAUUCAGUUGGGGACUCUAGAGAGACUGCCGGUGAUAAACCGGAGGAAGGUGGGGAUGACGUCAAAUCAUUAUGCCCCCUUAUGGCCUGGGCUACAAACGUAAUACAAUGGCGUAUACAAAGGGAUGCGAAGGAGCGAUCUGGAGCAAAACUCAUAAAGUACGUCUCAGUUCGGAUUGAAGUCUGCAACUCGACUUCAUGAAGCUGGAAUCGCUAGUAAUCGCGGAUCAGCAUGCCGCGGUGAAUACGUUCUCGGGGUUU
rnacentral:rRNA from 1 species